rnacentral:rRNA from 1 species
AUCGAACGCUGGCGGCAGGCCUAACACAUGCAAGUCGAACGAGUGGCGGACGGGUGAGUAAUGUCUGGGAAACUGCCUGAUGGAGGGGGAUAACUACUGGAAACGGUAGCUAAUACCGCAUACCAUCAGAUGGGCCCAGAUGGGAUUAGCUUGUUGGUGGGGUAAGGGCUCACCAGGGCGACGAUCCCUAGCUGGUCUGACGGGAUGACCAGGCACAUUGGAGCUGAGACGCGGACCAGGCUCCUACGUGAGGGAGCUGUGGGGAAUGUUGCACAAUGGGCGCAAGCAUGAUGCAGCCAUGCAGGGGGUAUGAAGAAGGCCUUCGGGUUGUAAAGUACUUUCAGCGGGGAGGCGUUACCCGCAGAAGAAGCACCGGCUAACUCCUUGCCAGCAGCCGCGUAAUAC